GACGAACGCUGGCGGCGUGCCUAACACAUGCAAGUCGAACGGAGAUUUGAGAGCUUGCUUUCAAAUCUUAGUGGCGGACGGGUGAGUAACGCGUGAGUAACCUGCCUCUCAGAGGGGGAUAACGUUCUGAAAAGAACGCUAAUACCGCAUGACAUACGGACAUGGCAUCAUGAUCGUAUCAAAGGAGCAAUCCGCUUUAAGAUGGACUCGCGUCCAAUUAGCUAGUUGGUGAGGUAACGGCCCACCAAGGCGACGAUUGGUAGCCGGACUGAGAGGUUGAACGGCCACAUUGGGACUGAGACACGGCCCAG
rnacentral:rRNA from 1 species